rnacentral:rRNA from 1 species
GACGAACGCUGGCGGCGUGCUUAACACAUGCAAGUCGAACGGAAAGGCCCUGCUUGCAGGGUACUCGAGUGGCGAACGGGUGAGUAACACGUGGGUGAUCUGCCCUGCACUUCGGGAUAAGCCUGGGCAACUGGGUCUAAUACCGGAUAGGAGCCAUUUUUAGUGUGAUGGUUGGAAAGUUUUUUCGGUGUAGGAUGAGCUCGCGGCCUAUCAGCUUGUUGGUGGGGUAAUGGCCUACCAAGGCGGCGACGGGUAGCCGGCCUGAGAGGGUGGACGGCCACAUUGGGACUGAGAUACGGCCCAGACUCCUACGGGAGGCAGCAGUGGGGAAUAUUGCACAAUGGGCGCAAGCCUGAUGCAGCGACGCCGCGUGGGGGAUGACGGCCUUCGGGUUGUAAACUCCUUUCGCUAGGGACGAAGCUUUUUGUGACGGUACCUAGAGAAGAAGCACCGGCUAACUACGUG